GACGAACGCUGGCGGCGUGCUUAACACAUGCAAGUCGAACGAAGAGCGAUGGAAGCUUGCUUCUAUCAAUCUUAGUGGCGAACGGGUGAGUAACGCGUAAUCAACCUGCCCUUCAGAGGGGGACAACAGUUGGAAACGACUGCUAAUACCGCAUACGAUCUAAUCUCGGCAUCGAGGAAAGAUGAAAGGUGGCCUCUAUUUAUAAGCUAUCACUGAAGGAGGGGAUUGCGUCUGGUUAGCUAGUUGGAGGGGUAACGGCCCACCAAGGCGAUGAUCAGUAGCCGGUCUGAGAGGAUGAACGGCCACAUUGGGACUGAGACACGGCCCAGACUCCUACGGGAGGCAGCAGUGGGGAAUCUUCCGCAAUGGACGAAAGUCUGACGGAGCAACGCCGCGUGAGUGAUGACGGCCUUCGGGUUGUAAAGCUCUGUUAAUCGGGACGAAAGGCCUUCUUGCGAACAGUUAGAAGGAUUGACGGUACCGGAAUAGAAAGCCACGGCUAACUACGUG
rnacentral:rRNA from 1 species